ensembl:lncRNA
AGACCUUUCACAUAUGGAGGUGCACAGCUGGUUCUGUUGCUUUCAAAUGCAUCCAGAAAUAUGCCCACUGGGACUUCAUGGGGCUGAAUGAGAAAUUAUCUCAUGGAGAAGUUGAGAUAUUUCAGCUAGCAGCGAUGACACUGUUGAAACUACACAGGUCACUUUCAGUACUGGAAGGCUGCUGUAAAGUAUCUUUGGAGCUUUCUUCAGACUGCACAACUGCAGAUCUCAGCCAGUCUCCAUAGGAGUGAUACUUUCUGAUCAUCUUUGUGGCCCUCUUCUGGAAUAACUCAAACAGUUUGAUGUCGUUUUUAUUCUGAGCUGAAUACAGUACCGCAAGUGGGAUCUCCUGAGAACAGAGGAGAGAGGGAGAAUCACUUCCCUUGAUUUCCUGGCUACACUUCUUUUGGUGCAGCCCAGGAUAUGGUUUGGCUUUCUGGGCUGCAAAUGCAAAGUGUUGUCUCCUAUUGAGUUUCUCAUCAGCCAACACCACCAAGUUAUCCUCCUCAAGGCUGCUCUGAAUUCAUUCUCCACCCAGCCCUGCGCUUGGGAUUGCCAACACGGGUGUAAGAUAUUCUACUUGGUCUUGCCAAACUUCAUGAAUUUUGCAUGGGAGCACCUCUCCAGCUUGUCUAGGCAAGAAGAAGUCCUGGAGACAUUCAAGAUCAGGCUGGACAUUGCUCUGAACACCCUGACUGAGCUGUAGGUGUCCCUGUUGAAAGCAGGGAAGUUGGAUUAGAUGACCUUUAAUUGUCCCUUCCAACUCAAACAAUCAUGCAAUUCUAUGACUAUAUAAAGCUCUUUCCUCACAUUGUGCUGGCUGUACUGCUGCCAUCACCAAGCUGAGGUACUGACUGCCCCAAGGAAUAAGCCAGUUUCUCUACCAAGAGAAAAGACAACAGACCUGAAAGGUGGGUCUGGAUGAAUUUAAUGAGGUUCAGCACAGCAAAGUGCAAGGUUUUGCACUUGGACCAGAGGAAUCCCAGGCAUACAUACAGACUGGAAGGAGCAGUCCUUGAGAGCAGCUCUGCAGAGGAGGACCUGGGAGUCCUGAUGGAUGAAAAGCUUAACAUGAGUCAGCAGUAUGCUCUUGCAGCUCAGAAAACAAAUGGUAUCCUGGGCUCCAUCAGAAGAAAGGUGGCCAGCAGGAACAGGGAGGUGAUUGUCCCUCUCUACUCUGCCCUCAUGAAGACCCAUCUGGAGUACUGUGUCCAGGUCUAGAGCCCCCAAUACAAGAAAGAUGGAGAGUUGUUGGAGAGGGUCCAGAGGAGGGCCACAGAGUUGAUCAGAGGUCUGGAGCACCUCACCUACAAAGACAGGCUGAGAGAGCUGAGCUUGAUUAGCCUGGAGAAGAGAAGGAUACAGGGUGACAUAUUUGCAGUCUUUCAGUACCUAAAGAGAGCCUAUAAAAAGGAGGGGAGUCAACUCUUUGAAAGGGUAGAUAACAGCAGGACAAGGGGAAAUCGUUUUAAGUUGAAGGAGGGAAGACUUAGGCUGAAUAUUGGGGGGAAGUUCUUUACUAUGAGAGUGGUAAGGUGCUGGAUCAGGCUGCCCAGAGAACUUGUGGAUGCUCCUUCUCUGGAGGUGCUCAAGGCCAGGCUGGAUGGGGCCCUGGGCAGCCUGGUCUAGUAUUAAAUGUAAAGGUUGGCGGCCCUGCUGGGGGUUGGAGCUUGAUGAUCCUUGAGGUCCCUUCCAACCCAGGCCAUUCUGUGAUUCUAUGAUACUGUGAAAACUGUUUUUCCAUAUGUGUCAAUCAAAGGCAUUAGUUCUUGUGUUGUCUCAAGGUGUCAAGGGCUGGCAGAAGCUGGGGAGGAGACACUGGAAGGGUACAUGCCACUGCCAUGAGGCAGAGCAUAUUUUCCUUCAUAGUCCUGGCUGGAGAGUCUGAAAACAUAUUGCCUUGCUGAUGGCCGGAUUUAGUCUUAGGAAGGGAUUUUUUUUUUUUUUUUUUUCAGAUUAUAUUCCAAAAUAUUCAAAAUACCUACAUUUUGCCUUACUUUUCUGAAUUUAAUGUUGUUUGUGUGUGAACACUGUCAUAUUGCUUUUUUGCAAUUUUGGAGCCACCUCACCUUGGUUUGCUGUUUCUACAGAGUGAGUACCACAUCAGUCUCCCCAGGAAAUUGUGUUUUGCUUGUUGGACUUGGAAUAGGAUAAUCGAUGUAUGUAUAGUGUCAUACAGCAGGUGAAAGGACAGGACUGCAUGGUUUCAUUGUUUUUUCUGCCUUCUGUGAAAAACAAUCAAAGAAGGCAGUCUCUCUCACAGACUUACUCAGAAUGUAAAGAGGCCAUAUCCAUACACUUUAAAGUGAAGAUUUGCCCUUGCUUACCCUGGUUUUAAUUGGGAGUAAGCCUGUGACAGUGAGCAGAGGGACACUGAUGAGAUAUAGUUUUAGUAAGUGAUGAGUAAAGCCCAUGUAGUGCACUACACUGCUCUUUCCUCAGCCUUCUUCUGCUCCACAAAAUCACUGCCUCUGCAGUUUUACCAUUCUUGAUCCAUGCAGGUAACUUCAUAACCCUGGCACCACACAGACUACAGAAUUAUUCCCUAAUGGAAAAUUGCAUGGGAUGGCGAUAAUUAUCUCAUCAGUUUCAUAAGCACUAACUGGAUUCCUGUUGUUACGUUUCAGAAGUUUUUCUGUCUUCCUACUGCCCUUCCUAUUACCUUCUCUUCAGUGCAGCCUGUAGAUUAUGAAGUAACCUGCUGAAAUUCGUAUUGUGAUAUAGAUUUGAAAAGAAUGGCACUGGUAUGAGAUUCAUUUUCUGUAUCAGAAUACAGUACCUCCAGACUGCAAAUAUGAAACCAUUUAAAAUAGAAACAACUUGUCACUCAGAAAAUGUAAGAGAUUUGCCCACAAAAGGAGAAAAUGAUCAAAUCUGAAAUGUAUGUUUGUCCCUGAACACAGAUCCAC